CAGAAGUUCAGAGGGAGCUUUAUCACUUCCUGAGAAAGAACAGAUGCAGUUCGGUUUCAUUUACAUGAACUGUAGAGGCUCCUUGUGUUAGCCAGGCUGCUUUAUUUCCUUUUUAUUCCCUUCUUUCUCUUAAAUACUGGUUUCUGCUUAGGCGAAGGAUCAAGUUGAAGCAUUUCACUCUGCUUGUGAGGAAGCCGCAUCCUUGAAAUGCAAGUUAGAGGAAGCCAUUUCUGAGCAGCAGAAACUCAAGGAUGUGAAUGAAGCUUUAACAAGCACUUGCCAGUUGCUUCAAGAAAAGGUGGAAUACCAGAAAACAACUGCUAAUGCGCUGAGAUGGGAACUGCUUCAAAGGAGACUCUGUGAAUUGCUAUGUCAGUGCUGUGCAGAGCUAGAUUCUGACUACAGUGUGCUGCCCUCGUCAACUGAGCUGGUAAAAGAUAAGCAGCUCCAUUGCUCUAAGCGACGGUGGAGUGAAGGAGACACCUUGGGCACUGAACUUCCCAGGGUACUGCCCUCAGAUGUUUCAUACUGGCAUAGUGCACUUCUGCUAGAUGCUCUGAACUUGGAAACCUCAUGUGCAAAUAACCCUCCUGAGCACGGCUGGGAUAGGCCUUGUAGACAGAACACUGACCGCUGUGUGUUUGAAAGCUGCCAUCUGGGACACGGGUUCACUUCAGAUGUGACAUCAGUGGGGUACAGGUGGAAAAUAUGCUCUGCUGGUAACUGUACUGAUGCAGACCUUCCUGUUUCCAUUACAAUGAUGGACUCUUCAGUUACUGAGAUUGACUGUGCAGAGCCACCACUACCAGCCAAUUUGAUCCCAUCCAGGUCAGGUCUUGUGUAAGCUUUUAAAAGCCUUUAUUAAGGUUGUAUAAUACGGAUAAGUAUCUGAAAUAAUUUUGUUUUAGCAGUGAUCACUUAACUUCACCCCAAGAAGUUCUUACAUCCUCUCUGGGAAGCACUGCACCAGUAACAGGUAAGCCCUUAAUUUGGGGCACAGAUGCGUGAGCCUUUUGCACUGUAAAUACUGGGAAAUAGCUCUGUUCAAGUGUGUGCAUUUACUGAACAGUAAAAGCUCUGUCUUCUCUUGACUGAUGUUAUAGGCUGCCUUGCUAUAGAGGAAAAAUCACUCAAGCACUUGCAUGGAAAAGAGGAAG
rnacentral:lncRNA from 14 species